CACUUUCACUUUAGACUGACUUCGCUUUUCCUGAUUUAUUCACCAUGAUAUCUUCAAUGAAUUCGUUGAAAAUACAACUUUCCGAAAUACUGCUGCGCGUAACAAGCGUCACAGCGAGUCCUCUCAUAGUCAAGGGAUGGUGGUCCAACCCAAAACCAUUACAUACUGGCGUUUACCUCAGCUCAUUGGCUAUCUACCCAGCUAGAUUUCAAGAAGAUCAGUGGUCAUUGGGCAGAAAUACAGUCAAUCAAUGAAGCUUCGCUAAAAUUAUUGUGCGCAAGGAAGAAGUUUGGCUGUGUUGCAAACAUCCAGAGGAAUGCACUGAAACUUACCAUGACUAGAUAAACGAUUGUUUACGGGUUGAAUGCUCCGUAAAAAAAUGAUAGAGAUGGAAUUCGCGGCACAAAUGGUUUACAAAAUGUUUCGAUUUAGGCUAUAAAAAUGGAUUUUAUCAAACAAAACGGCACUUCAUUUGAUCACUGGGACCCUCAGGAAGAGAAAUAAGAGCAAGAUAUCAGAAUGGAUCGCAGCCAUAAGAGGUUUUAAUGUCGGACGGGGCUACAGUGUCUCCCGAUCCCUCCUGUCUCAGCCUCCAGUAUUUAUGCUGAAAAAGUGUAUGUGUCGGAGGAUAGGGUCAGUCUGUUAUAUCUGGAGUAUUUCCCCUGUCUUAUCCGGUGUCCUGUGUGAAUGUAUGCUCUCUCUAAUUCUCUCUUUUUUUCUCUCUUUCUUUUCUCUCUUUCUUUCUUUCUUUCAUUCUCUCUCUCUGAGGACCUGAGCCCCAGGACCAUGCCUCAGGACUACCUGGCCUGAUGACUCUUUGCUGUCCCCAGUCCACCUGGUCGUGCUGCUGCUCCAGUUUCAACUGUUCUGCCUGCGGCUAUGGAACCCUGACCUGUUCACCGGAUGUGAUACUUGUCCCAGACCUGCUGUUUUCAACUCUCUAGAGACAGCAGGAGCGGUAGGGAUACGCUGAAUUAUCGGCUAUGAAAGUCAACUGACAUUUACUCCUGAGGUGCUGACCUGUUGCACCCUCAACAAUCACUGUGAUUGUUAUUAUUUGACCCUGCUCUUCAUCUAUGAACAUUUGAACAUCUUGACCAUGUUCUGUUAUACUCUCCACCCGGCACAGCCAGAAGAGGACUGGCCACCCCUCAUAGUCUGGUUCCUCUCUAGGUUUCUUCCUAGGAUCUGGCCUUUCUAGGGAGUUUUUCCUAGCCACUGUGCUUCUACACCUGCAUUGCUUGCUGUUUGGGGUUUUAGGCUGGGUUUCUGUACAGCACUUUGUGACAUCAGCUGAUGUAAGUCGGGCUUAAUAAAUACAUUUGAUUGAUUGAUUGACACUCACACAAAACCUGCACACAUACAAACACACACACACACACACACACACACACACACACACACACACACACACACACACACACACACACACACACACAACAAAAACACACAUACAUAUACACUUUUACACUCAUCAUUUGCUGCUGCUACUCUGUUCUUUAUUUGUCUAUUCCAUGCGAGAAAUUGCCAAGAAACUGAUCUUUACUUUAGGAAUUCAAAAGUACAAUUCUUGUCUUUCAUAAUUUGGUCCGAUAUACUUGGAUGUGUAGUGUCAGCAUUUGUUGCUGGCAUGUCAUCCCUAAAUUUGCUUAUCUUGCCAAUGAAAAAGUUAUUUGAAUUAGUUUACAAUAUCAGUGGGCUUUGUGAUGAAUGAGCCAUCUGAUUCAAAGAAUGAAGGAGCCGAGUUGGCUUUUUUCACAAAUAUUUCAUUUAAUUAAGGUACCCCAAAGCUUUUUACUCUCAUUAUUUAUAUUGUUUGUUUCAUAGUGUAGUUUAUUUUCAUUUUUAUUUUGUUUAGUCACAGAUUUCUUCAUUUGCAGUACGUUUGCCAAUCAGUUGGGCUGCCAGACUUAAUUGCCAUACCUUUUGCCUCAUCCCUUUCAACCAUAACAUUUUUCAAUUCCUCAUCAAUCCAAGGGGAUUUAACAGUUUUUACAGUCAUUUUCUUCAUGGCUUAUUAGUAACUAAGUUGUAUUCGGCGCAUGUGACAAAUACCAUUUGAUUUGAUGUGUGCGUGCGUGCAUUCCUUCUGGUUGCCUCAGUGGGGUCUUUACUCCACAGUGUGAGAGCUACUGCACAGAUAGAGCUAAUAGCGUCAGUGGACAGUUGUGUUCCCAGCCGUGUCUCCUGAGAUGUGGGUGUGAUGGUCACUACAGCAGAAGUGCAAAGGGCUCUGAUUACUCCCUACUCCCUCAGCUGCUUCACGGUUAUGACAAGCUCUCUCUCUAGACCGUGAGACCCUAACUUCCUUCUCUCUGCGGGCCCGCAGGAGAAAAACAAAAGGCUCUGAGAACCUAUUACACCCACAGAGAAGCCUUCUUAAGUGAGAUAGCAAUCCUCUAUCAUACAAAACGGUCAAUACUUUUGUCACAUAAGAGCAAAAUAACAGAAAGACUAUGCCAGAUACUCGCAAGCCCAUAAGACCACAAAAACACAUUACCAAACACAAGUCAUACCAUUCCACUUUUACAUGCCUAACAAUAACUCAACUUUUCCAAAUACGUGAUGUCGAGGCAGGCAAUUCAAUUUGAGGUAAAGAACUUGUCCCCCUCCACCAACCCACUAGAGUGAGAUAAUAAUUUAUCAAUCUGCCCUGAUAGGCAGUCUCUGUCCAACUUUACAUUAGGUUAUUUGGUCGAAAUGGGUAAAUAGUUCCAUUAGACCCACAGGGGAGGCAUUUCUCAGGCUGCCUAAUUGAGGAGUGACAGGGCAAAUGACUCACAUCCUGUAAGGGGUCCCAGUGGUGCCAUUAACAUCCUCAUUACAGUUGGCAAUGCUUAGUGUUUCAGUCCUUCGGUUCUGUAAGCAUGUCCAACCUCUGCCCUGUUUACAUGGGACAUAAGGAGUUACCUUGUUGUUCACUUAGAGACAUUCCUAAUAGUACUGUAGGGUAUAGUCAAGUCAAAUAUCGGUAUGAGCAAACUGAUAUACUGUGUAGGCCUAUUUGCUUGACGUUUGUAAAUAUGUAAAUCAAUACUAAAAACAAGAAAAUCAAUACAUGUCAAAAGCAGAAGCACGAGUGUUUCUCAACAGCUUUUACAGUAACCUGCACAGAUACAAGACAAACACCAGACACGAGAGGGAGUUAAAAUCCUGUGAGAAGUAGAGAUUAUGGGGAGAGAGGGCGUGAGAGGAGGAGAGUCUCCUACUGUCUCACUGUUUCCAAUGGGGUUCAUUCAUCAUCCUGAGAAUCCACAUGCUCAACAUGUUAGUCGUGGAAAUGUAGCCAUGUCUGGAUAGAUCUUGAUGGAUUACCUGCAUACUUCAGAUCUGGUCCAAACUGAGACAGGCAGACCCGGAU